rnacentral:lncRNA from 1 species
AUGAAACAGGAAAUUAACUUCAUCGCGCCCGAGAAAGAGCAGAGUAGCUUUGAUCAUGCUAGUGAACUGGUAAUUCCAAGUGAUGUUACCAUACCGGUACCCGAGAAAAUUAAAAAGAAUGAUAUCUUUGACGCCUCUACCUCCCUUGAGAAGGAUAGACGAGUAUCAGCCGAUGUUAACCGUGGCACAGUCAUUGAAUCUCAGCAGUCUCCCCUAGAAGUCGCCGCAGCGACAGUAACAUCACCUGAAAAUGAAGUCAGAGAGGGAACGAACAAUACAGAGGCCAAAAAUCAAGAGCAUGAAGGCACGAUAGAUGACGACGAGCAGGCUGUUCAAAGUGCAGUUGCUGAAUUUAAAGUCGCCGACCUUGAAAGGAGUCAAAUCAUCGCAGCUUCUCUCACCUUGGGAGGAGAUAAACGAGCAUCCGCCGAUAUUAACCCUGACCAAGUCGUUAAAUCUAAACAGUCUCCCCAAGAAGUCUUCACAGUAGAUGGAGCUUCACCUGAAAAUAUAGCCAUAGAAGAAUUGGACACUAUUGAAGCCGAAGAUCAAGAGCGCGAAAGCUGCGUGAAUGACGGCGAACAAGCUAUUCAAACUGAAGUUGCAAAAUCAGUUGUCGUUGAUCUUGAAAUAAAUGAAGUCCUCGAAGCCUCCUUCGCCUCUGAAAAAGAUAAACAUACAUCAACCAGUGCUAGCCCCAGAAAAGUCGUUGAACCUGAACAGAUUUCUCGAGAGAUGGUGACUUCUGAAGAACCUGUCAAUACAUCUGAAGUCGGACAGAGAAUGGACACUAUCAAGGUCGAGAGUCAAGAGGAAAAUGGCUUUGUUGAUAAUGCCGAAAAGUCUGCUCAAAGUUCAUUUGCAACAUCAGGAGUCGUAAAUCUCGAAAGGAACCAAAUCGUUGAAGGCUGCUCCACUUCCGAGGAAAAUGAACUAAAAUCAGUUGAUGUUAGUCCAAAAAAAGUUGAAUCCGAACAAUUUCCUCGAGACAUGGUGAACAAGGCAGUGAUUUCAUCUGAUACUGAAAACAGACCUGAAUUGGACACUACCAAGGCUGAGGAUCAAGACCAGACUUGCUUCAACAGUGACGAUGGACAGGUUAUCCAGAAAAAUGUUGACAUCGCAGUUAUAAAAACUGAAAUCGGACAGGGAACAGACAUUAUCGAGGCCAAGGAUCAACGACAGAAAGGCUCUCACGAUGACAAUGGACGGGUAACUCAGAGUGAUGUCAUCAUAGAAGUAAGAGAGGAGUUUGAAGGGGGUCAAAUCCUUGAGGCCUCCUCCAUCUGUGAAAAGAUUGAUGGUCUAUUAGUCGACAACAUUCCCAAAACAGUCGAUGAAUUUAAACUGACCUCCCUAGAAGUAGCUAAAACAGAAGGAAUGUCCUCAAAAAUGGAACUAAGGCAGGAACUUGGCCCUGCCAAACCUGAGGAUCAAGAACAGAAAGGCUCCGACGGUGACGGUGAUCAAGCUAUUCCGAGUGAGGUUGCAAAAUCAGUACACAUGGAGCUCGAAAGAAUUCAAUCACUUGGAGGCUCUUUCACUACUGAGAAGGAUGAUCGUACGACAGUCGAUGUUAGUCCCGAAAAAGAAGUUGAAACUGAACAGAAUCUUCGAGAAUUAGCCGGAACAGAAGAAACUUCAUCUAGUUCUAAGAAAAUACGUGAAAUGGACAUAGUCGAGGACGAAGAUCUACAGCAAAUAGCCGGCAAACUCGAAAGAAAUCAAGUUCCUGAAGACUCUUUGACUUCCGAGAGGGAUGCUCAUGUCAGUCCCAGAAAAGUCAUUGAAUCCGAUCAAAUCCCUAGAGAGACGUUGCAAACGGCUCCAUCUGGAGAUGAAGUUAAACAAGACGUAGGCACUAUCAAGGAUGAUGAUCGGAAGCAAGAUGGCCGUGAAGAUUGUGAUAAACACGCUGUUUUAAGUGAAGAUCCAAAAUCGGAAGUCACGGACCUUGGUAGGAAUCAAAUCUUUGAAACCUUCUCUGAUGUGGAUGAACAUGAAUCCGUGCAUGUUAGUACUAAAAAAGUUGUUGAACCUGAACGGUGUUCUUUAGAGAUCGUCACAGAAACUUCAUGUAAAACUGAGGAAGUACGUGAAUCUGACCCCGCCGAGACUAUGGAUCGGCAAAAGAAAGGGCUUAGCGAUGAUCGUGAUCAAACUGUUUUAAGUGAAGAACCGAAAACAGUACUCUUGGAUCUUGUAAGGAAUCAAAUCUUCGAGGGCUCCUCCACCUCUGAGAUUAAUGAAAGUAAAUCAGAUGAUAUUAGUCCCAAAGAGGGAAUUGAACCCGAACGGAUUUCUUCUGAAAUGGUGAAGGCGGAUGAGACUGCAUCGGAAACUGAAGUUAAACAGAAAAUGGACACUAUCGAAGCUGAGAAUCGAGAGCAAAAAAGCUUUGACGAUGAUGAUAAACUAGCCAUUCAAAGUGAUGUUGCAAAAUCAGCAGUCAUGGAGCUAGAAGCUAAGGAAUCCCUCGAUGACUCCUGCUCUUCUGACAAGGAUAUACCCAAGCUUAACCCCAAGGAAGUCGUAGAUCUUGAACAGAUCCCUCAGGAAACAGUUAAAUCAGAAGAGACCUAUUCUGUAAAGGAUUUUAAGCAAGAUGUUAAUUCUACCGAGGAUAAAGAUCGAAAGCAGGGUGACUCUAAAGCUAAUGAAAUUGAGUCUAAUCAAAGUGAUGUUGCAGUACCAACUGUCCACAAAGUUGAUAGGAAUCAAAUCCCUGAAAAUUCCUCAAGCUUUGAAAGAGCUGACGUUAUUUCAGUGAAUCGAAACCUCGAACUGGUGGUAGAAUCAGAACCUAUCCCUGACGAGAUAAGCACAGCGGACGGAAAUUCCUCCGAAAAUAAUGACACCACGGAAAAGAGGGCAAUCAAAUCUAAAGAAAACCAGCAAGAAGGCCCUUCCCUAGAGGUUGCGGAUGUGAACGAGAUGAAAAAAGAAGGCGCUAUAGAGGACUUUCCUGGCUUAAAAGAGAGUCAUUUGGUCCAGAGCCCUAUGAAGGACUCUCGUGGCAUGUCUAUAAAAACGACACAUGAGGAGGUCCAAACUAUUACUGCUGUAGAAAAUUUAACAAACAGAGAUCAUGAUAAGUUAUCACUCUUAUCUCAUGAGACGACCGACCUAGAUUCCCCUGAAAAUCUAAAAUUCGAUGACAUUAGUCAGUCUAAUGCUGCAACAGAAUCGCAUUACGAAGGAAGGCGGGAAGGUUCACUUGAUGAAGUUUCGACUGCUCAAUGCAUAAUAAAAGAUAGAGAGGAUCAACAAGACUAUCCUGAAUUGUUGGUGAAGAAACCUAAAACAUGCACCAAUAUCUCCAAAGACCCAAAAGACAUGCAAACCAAACUUAUUUUUGAAGAUUCAAUCGAACCAAUUUUGGAACCUCCGCUUCCGAAGUUUGAGAAUGCUGAAGAGCCAGCUGUAUUGGUCAAAAAAUUAUCAAGAUCUAAGAUUGGGGAUACUGGAGAGUCUCUAUCAUCACAUCUCAUUGCAGCAAGAACCGAAGUUGCUUUAGUAGAUUUACCUGAAAACAAGAGAAUUUUGCCAGAUCAUGCAAAUGAAAGUCUUUAUUCAUCUGUCGGAGAGAAUGCACUUUUAGUCUCAUCCGUCUCAGAUGAAUCGACCUUUAUAGAGCCUGUAGGCUUGGUAAAAUCUGAUUCUCAUGAAGACAUUGAUGACAAGGCAGACAGAAUUACUCAUGUGGAAUGCAGUUCAACACCUAAAACAUCAGAGAGAGAAAGUGUUGCUCCAGAAUUGGAAUGCACCUUAAAUACAAAAUACGAAGAGACGAUGGACCCAGAAAAUAUUUCGUUACCCUCUUCAUUAUCAAGCAGGUCUAGUGAACUUGCCGAAUUUCCUAUGAAAGCUGAAAUAUCUUCUGACUUAGGGAAUGAAAACAAUUCCAAGCAGGCUGGUGACUCUAAAAAACUAUUGAGCCAAUCAGGUUCUAGCCUCAAUACAUCAGCUCCUAGUAUGAAAGACUCCCAUAGAACCCAGCUUGAUCUUACAUCAGACGUACGAGAAGUAGACACCGGAGACUCAUAUGAAUCAGGAGCCUCCACCGCUCCCACCAGUCUAACCAGCUACUCUGAGAAUGAUUCUCAAGUAACAUCUCAGUCACUAACUGAAGAAGACACGAAUAAAGGAAGCAGUUUUCAAAGUGAAUCGUUUUCUGAUAAUUCUUCAGGCCCUGAUUUUGCUUCUCAACGUAGCACCGGUUUCUCUGAGGAUUCGGAGGAACAAGGCAGUCUCUUCACUACAAAAUCCGGUUCAACGUAUGUUUUUGUAAAAUCGACCAGUACUAAUUUAUUAUGCUCCUGUGAUGAAAUUGAAACAGCUCGAGAUGUAACAUUGUCAAGCAAAAACCACGAAGGAAAAGUUGAAAUUAUGGCAACGACUUUGCACGAAACAGUAGCAAUGGAGGAGUCGCAGAAAUCUCCAGCGCAAAUUGUUCAAGGCUCUGAAACUGCUGAAACUGACUUUUCAGGCUCUACUGUCGAACGAGCUGCCCCCACUUUCAAGGUUGAAACGUGGCAGCAAUCUAAUAUCUCUCUGUCGUCAAUCGGAUGUAUUUCAUGGAAUUUGCCUGACAUUGGAAAUGAGAUAGAGCCUUUUAGUUCGGAACAAACCGUAGCUCUGAAUACAGUUUUGACGGAGGACCACUCCUCCUAUGAUAGCGCUGACCAAAAAUUGCAACAAUCAAUUUCUGAAGAACGCAGCAAAAAACCUGCUUCCGUUCCUUUGGAACCUGGCUCACAUAUGCUAGGAGCAACGAACUUGGAGCUUGAAAAUCUUGAGGCGAAUAAAUUUGGCGAAAUGAAUUUAAGUGGAAUGAAGUCCUCUCAGAAUCAGAAAAUUCCUGUGAUUGCAAUAACGCCGGAAGAUGGACCCAAACCAUUGUCCCUGAAAUAUCUAAGAAUUGGAUCAACACCAGAGCCUCUAACAGACACGGAAGAUUUAGAAGCUAGCACUGACCAAACUCUCAAAAUUAUUAGACUUGGAAUGGAUGAUGCUGCCACUACAGAUGUAGAAGAUAUGCAGGAUUCUGAUGACAAUGAUGCCCAAGAGAGGAACAUCUACAAAUAUCCUAAGACAUUCUCAGUUGACGAUAUUCUAGAUCCUGGCUCUUUUGAGGAGUCCAUCAGCAUCAAGUCCAAAAAAAAUGGAAUCAAGAAAUUGUUCUCUUCAUUCACCAGAUCACUCUCUGAGCCCACUUACAAAAAUAAAGGACUCCAGUUACCUGUCUCUGAUGCUGAAGAAUUAACAGAUGUCGACCUGUUAGACUCAGAUUGUGAUGUCAAUCCACACUAUGAUGAAGAUCAUUCCGUCCUAUUAAAUCAUCUAAUGGAUACUGAUGAUACUCAUAUUACCUCUGAGGAUAAAUUCAGAAGUUUAACGCCCUCUCCGAGUGUUACCCCUGAGCCUUAUUUCUCCGAAGGAAGGGUCAAGAAGUUUACUAAGAAGUCUGGAAAGUCAGGGGCCAGUCAUCUUUUAUCUCCUCGGUCACUGUCACCCCACCUUAGCGACUUUACAGACACUGAAAUUAUUUACUCUGACAAUGAAGAUGGCCAUUUUGAUGAUUUUCUAACAGUCGACCCUGUUGGACUGAAAAAGAGAAAAAAUCGCAAGCGAAAUAUUUAUACGAACUCUUCGGUUUAUAUCGCUGAAAUCGAGCCUCAAGCGCAGCCUGCUGAUUAUAGUACAGACACUGAAGAUAUGCUACUCACGGAUAGAGAGGAGUUGUCUCCUAUGCCUGCAAGAAAUGUUUUGUAUGAGGAACCCAAAACUCGUUCCCCUUCGAGACAUGUAAUGAAACCUGAAGCAUUAAGCGCAGAAGUUAGUGACGGUAACACGGACAUUGAAGACUUCUUCUCAGACACAGAUGAAGAUAUACCUCAUACCUCUCAUGCGGUUCCAAAAUAA